GUACACUCCUGCGGGAGGCAGCAGUGGUGAAUUUUGGACAAUGGGCGAAAGCCUGAUCCAGCAAUGCCGCGUGAGUGAAGAAGGCCUUCGGGUUGUAAAGCUCUUUUGUCAGGGAAGAAACGGUGAGAGCUAAUAUCUUUUGCUAAUGACGGUACCUGAAGAAUAAGCACCGGCUAACUACGUGCCAGCAGCCGCGGUAAUACGUAGGGUGCAAGCGUUAAUCGGAAUUACUGGGCGUAAAGCGUGCGCAGGCGGUUUUGUAAGUCUGAUGUGAAAUCCCCGGGCUCAACCUGGGAAUUGCAUUGGAGACUGCAAGGCUAGAAUCUGGCAGAGGGGGGUAGAAUUCCACGUGUAGCAGUGAAAUGCGUAGAUAUGUGGAGGAACACCGAUGGCGAAGGCAGCCCCCUGGGUCAAGAUUGACGCUCAUGCACGAAAGCGUGGGGAGCAAACAGGAUUAGAAACCCUGGUAGUCCCAU
rnacentral:rRNA from 1 species